GUGUCAGCCGCCGCGGUAAUACGUAGGGUCCGAGCGUUGUCCGGAGUUACUGGGCGUAAAGCGCGCGCAGGCGGCCCGCCAAGACCGGCGUGAAAGCCCCCGGCUCAACCGGGGAGGGUCGUCGGUGACUGGCGGGCUCGAGGACGGCAGGGGUCGGUGGAAUGCCCGGUGUAGUGGUGAAAUGCGUAGAGAUCGGGCGGAACACCCGUGGCGAAGGCGGCCGACUGGGCCGGUCCUGACGCUGAGGCGCGAAGGCGUGGGGAGCGAACGGGAUUAGAAACCCCCGUAGUCC
rnacentral:rRNA from 1 species